rnacentral:misc_RNA from 1 species
UACGAAGGGGGCGAGCGUUGUUCGGAAUCACUGGGCUUAAAGCGUGCGUAGGCGGGAAUGCAAGUCAGAAGUGAAAGCCCAGGGCUUAACCUUGGAACUGCUUUUGAAACUGCAUUUCUAGAAACCGGGAGAGGUUGGCGGAAUUCCGAGUGUAGAGGUGAAAUUCGCAGAUAUUCGGAGGAACACCAGUGGCGAAGGCGGCCAACUGGCCCGGUCUUGACGCUGAGGCACGAAAGCAUGGGGAGCAAACAGG